rnacentral:rRNA from 1 species
CGUGAGUGAUGAAGGCCUUCGGGUCGUAAAGCUCUGUCAGAUGGGAAGAAUAAGGGCAGGGAAAAUAUUCCUGUUCGAUGACGGUACCAUCAGAGGAAGCACCGGCUAACUCCGUGCCAGCAGCCGCGGUAAUACGGAGGGUGCAAGCGUUGUUCGGAAUUACUGGGCGUAAAGCGCGUGUAGGCGGAUAUGUAGGUCAGAUGUGAAAUCCCUCAGCUUAACUGAGGAAGUGCAUCUGAAACCACGUAUCUUGAGUACGAGAGAGGAAAGUGGAAUUCCCAGUGUAGAGGUGAAAUUCAUAGAUAUUGGGAAGAACACCGGUGGCGAAGGCGGCUUUCUGGCUCGAUACUGACGCUGAGACGCGAAAGCGUGGGGAGCAAACAGGAUUAGAUACCCUGGUAGUCCACGCCGUAAACGAUGUGCACUAGGUGUUGGGGGUAAUUAAACCCUCAGUGCCGCAGCUAACGCAUUAA